rnacentral:rRNA from 1 species
GACGAACGCUGGCGGCGUGCUUAACACAUGCAAGUCGAACGAAGAGCGAUGGAAGCUUGCUUCUAUCAAUCUUAGUGGCGAACGGGUGAGUAACGCGUAAUCAACCUGCCCUUCAGAGGGGGACAACAGUUGGAAACGACUGCUAAUACCGCAUACGAUCUAAUCUCGGCAUCGAGGAUAGAUGAAAGGUGGCCUCUACAUGUAAGCCAUCACUGAAGGAGGGGAUUGCGUCUGAUUAGCUAGUUGGAGGGGUAACGGCCCACCAAGGCGAAGAUCAGUAGCCGGUCUGAGGGGAUGGACGGCCACAUUGGGACUGGGACACGGCCCAGACUCCUACGGGAGGCAGCAGUGGGGAAUCUUCCGCAAUGGACGAAAGUCUGACGGAGCAACGCCGCGUGAGUGAUGACGGCCUUCGGGUUGUAAAGCUCUGUUAAUCGGGACGAAAGGCCUUCUUGCGAACAGUUAGAAGGAUUGACGGUACCGGAAUAGAAAGCCACGGCUAACUACGUG